rnacentral:siRNA from 1 species
UAAAACUUGUGUCCUCUCCAACCA